rnacentral:rRNA from 1 species
ACCUACGGGGGGCAGCAGUAGGGAAUUUUCGUCAAUGGGCGCAAGCCUGAACGAGCAAUGCCGCGUGAACGAGGAAGGUCUUCGGAUCGUAAAGUUCUGUUGAAGGGGAAAAAGAGCGGAGAGAGGAAAUGGUCUCCGAUUGAUAUUACCCUUCGAGGAGGUCACGGCUAACUACGUGCCAGCAGCCGCGGUAAUACGUAGGUGGCGAGCGUUAUCCGGAAUGAUUGGGCGUAAAGGGUGCGUAGGCGGCCUGCUAAGUCUGGAGUGAAAGGUACCGGCUCAACCGGUACAGGCUCUGGAAACUG